CUAUUAAACAUUUUACACGUUAAUUUUCACGCAUGUAUUCUGAUAACUCCCCUACUAAUUUUUGCUGUGAAAUAAAAGAAUUGUACUAAAAAUUUCUUACAUGAUCUAGCACUCGUUUGUUCUGUCAUUUAUCAAAGUUCGAAACAGAACGGAAGAAUUAAAUUUUCAUCGUUGUUUGUAUUACAGUUAAUUAAAUAAAAUGCCAUCGGCUCUGUUAGCAGAUACCAUUGCUUUAGGAUUAGAAGCUCAAGAUCCAUGGCCUCAACAAAUUACUGUAUAUCAGCCAUAUGAUGUUGAACAAAUAUUAUUGCCUGACAGUGCAAAUUGUUUAGCUGUACAAGCUUUUCUCAGAAUGUGCAAAAUUGACUUCCAAUUAGAAACAAGAAGCAAUGCUGAAUAUAUGUCUCCUUCUGGACGUGUACCAUUUAUAAAAUGUGGAGCAUUUAUAAUAUCUGAGUUUGACAAUAUUGUGUCAUUUAUAGGAAAUAAAGGCAUAAGUUUAUCAGAACAUUUGUCUGCAACUUGUAAGGCAGAUAUGAGAGCUUACAUGUCACUGGUGGACAAUGUAUUUUUUAAUGCUGAAUUAUAUAUCUGUUGGGUUGAUGAAGCAACUCUAAAUGAAGUGACUAAACCAAGACAUGGUAGUGUGUACCCUUGGCCUUUAAAUCACUUUUUAAAUUGGCAGAAAAGGAAAGAGGUUAUUAAAAAAUUAAAUGUACUUGGCUGGUACAAUAAAACUAUAGAAGAAGUAUGUAGUGAUGUCAACAAUUGUUGUACAAUAUUGUCCGAAAGACUAGAGGGUAACGACUAUUUUUCUGGAGAAGAGACACCCAAUGAAUUGGAUGCCUUAGUGUUUGGACAUAUAUUUACAAUAAUCACAACACCUCUACCUGGUAAUACACUGGCAAGGAUUGUCAAAAGUUAUCCGCUGCUUAUACAUCUCUGCGAACGUAUUGAGACUAGCAUUUUUUCUCCUCAAACGAUAGGGGUCAAAUAAAGUAACAAAAUGUUGGAGGCGAGAAUUAAGUAAUACGACUUUGGAGAUUUCCAAAUGUAUAUUCUCCGAAAACGGCAGGAAUGCGUAACCGAUGAAAGGAUAAUUACUCUCAGCGUACCUGUUUAUCAGCAUUUUCUUUCUGACUAAAUCCUUCAGAAGCAUUAUGUACAAUAAUUAGCCAUUCUGAUGUCAAAUGGCGUUAAUAGCUAUAUGGCGUAAAUCUACAAGUAUUUGUUUCUGUUUUUAUGUGUUGUACAUAGUUAUAAAUCAUUAAUUUAUCUUUCUAAUUUUAUUUUAGUUGAAAUCUUUACUAACUACAUAAACGCUCUAAUUUAUAUUUUUCUAUAUAAAAUAUGUAUAUCAUUU
rnacentral:misc_RNA from 1 species